AAUCUUGUUUGUCGGUGCUUCCGGAAGAGCGUAUUUAAUCUUUCUAUAAAUAUUUAAUGAUUCUCUGCUACGCGCCUGGAGCUGCUAUAAAUGCUGAAAAAACAGCAGUGAACAAAACAGAUAAAAAUUCUUGUCCUUGUGGGGUUGAGAUUCUAGUGGAACAAGACAGAUACUAAAACCAACAGGAGCCGGCGCCGUGGCUCGCGCCUGGAAUGUCAGUAGAGACGGGGUUUCACCGUGUUAACCAGGAUGGUCUUCAACUCCUGACCUCAAGUAAUCUGCCCGCCUCGGCCUCCCGAAGUGCUGGGAUUACAGGCGUGACCCACCGCGCCCGGCAGGUAAUAAUUAUUGUAGGAUUCAAGGAAGAAUUACAUGUGAAGAUCCUUGUAAGUGUUUAAUACAAUAUACACACUAACCCCUCCACAAAAGGUAAUUAUUACAUAGGAGAAAAUUGAUAGAAGUAACUUGUCCACAGAUAUCACCUGUUCUAGCAAUAAGGCCAAACUUCCAGCCUGGUCUGUCAGACUCCAAAAUGGCCUUCCUCCUUUUAGAAAAGGGAAAUAUUAGCAAGCGUUGGGACCUGAGGAGAGGGAGUUUUUGUUUUUGUUCUUC
rnacentral:lncRNA from 1 species